CCCUUAGAUGUCCUGGGCUGCACGCGCGCUACACUGAUGUGUUCAAUAAGCACCUAACCUACUCCGAAGGGACUGGGUAACCUUUGCAAAGCACAUCGUGAUGGGGAUAGAUUAUUGCAAUUAUUAGUCUUGAACGAGGAAUUCCUAGUAAGCGCAAGUCAUCAGCUUGUGUUGAUUACGUCCCUGCCCUUUGUACACACCGCCCGUCGCUCCUACCGAUUGAAUGCUCAGGUGAGCCAUUCGGACUUUCAUCAUGCUGGUUUCCAGUUUUGAUGAAGGAAAGUCUUGCGAACCUUAUCAUUUAGAGGAAGGAGAAGUCGUAACA
rnacentral:rRNA from 1 species